rnacentral:rRNA from 1 species
GACGAACCGUGCGAACGUUUAUUCGGAAUCACUGGGCUUAAAGCGCGUGUAGGCGGGCCGCCACGUCGGCUGCUGAAAUCCCCCGGCUCAACCGGGGAAGUGGCACCGAUACGAGCGGCCUCGAGGGGGGUAGGGGGGUCUGGAACUUCCGGUGGAGCGGUGAAAUGCGUUGAGAUCGGAAGGAACGCCCGUGGCGAAAGCGAGGCCCUGGACCCUUACUGACGCUGAGACGCGAAAGCCAGGGGAGCGAACGGG